AAAUUUUAAAAGUCUGGUCAAAUAUCAAUAUAAAUUUAUCCAUUUGGUUGUGGUUGGAGGAUGUGUCUUUUGGGGGUUUCAACUUUCACACAACAAUAUGUGUUAUCAAAUUUCAUGUUUUCACACGAGUCUAAAUGAUACUUACAGAUUUCAAUUUUUAAAUCAAUAUAAAAAAAAAAGAAAAAUGAAAUGAAUUAUCGUUACAACAAUAAGUUUGCCGAGGGGUAAUCAUAUUUUGGUGAUGGAGCUUUGUUGUUGAUUUUAAAUCUCACCGUUGAUAAAGACCGUCGUAGGAACACGAAGAAAAUUAUUUUUCCUAUAUACAAAAAUUACUACUCGAUGGAGUAAAAUAGCCACUUAGAAUUUAAGUAUAUUAUAUAUAUUGCUAUACAAUCAUUGAUUUUAAAGGAAAAUUACGAAUAUAUUAUUAUAUUACUGUUUGUGUAUAUCGAUAAAACUCUAAAGUGCUUGUAAAACGUGGAGGCUUCCACUCCCCCUAUCAUUUAUUAACUAAAUCAGUACACGUUUAAAUGCUAACAAAAUAUUCCACAAUACCUACAUGUUUGCAUAGAACAUUUUUAUUGUUUUCAACAGAUAUUUGGAAAUUUUAAUUAAUGUAUGACACAAAUGCCCAGGGUGCGAAUUUUAAAACUGAGAGUUUUAAGCACUCCCUCCCCUAGCUGUGACCAUACCGUAAAAUUGAACAUUAUUUUGCCGUGUCCUCUCGUAGCAUAAAUUCGACCAUAAAAUUCAUAGUAGCCGAUUUUAAUUAAAUAUGUUAUUUUUAUUUAUUUAUUUAUUUAACGCCUACUGGAUUAUCCGGAUACAACAAUAAGUACAUAAUAUUUAUAAUUAAAACACCUACACAUUAUUAACACGGUUUAUCUCCUAGGUGAUAUUUGCACACGCGUGUCUUCGAGUAAAAAAGUUUACGCGUUUACAUAAUUGGCUAAAAUCGUGUUUUGAUACCUGCCUACGAUUAAAUUUAAUCAUCUUACAUUAUUAUUUUGUUACGUUAAUAUUGUUUCGACUACCGAUAUUAAUUUUCUCGGUUUUUAUAGUGUGGUUAAAUGUCACCAUUAAAAUGUACACCAUAUAAUAUAAUAUUUUAUUAUUUUACUACCCGUUUAAUGUGUAUAUUAUUUUGUAAUCGACACAAAGCCAUAAACAAAAAAACGACUUAAAAAACAUUAUACAAUACAACAUAAAUUAUAUUACUACUCUGUUAGAUUUUGAAUGUAACGCAAAGAUUCGAUUACUUUUACUUAGACG